GACGAACGCUGGCGGCGUGCUUAACACAUGCAAGUCGAACGAGAAUCUGCGGAACGAGGAUUCGUCCAAGUGAAGCAGAGGACAGUGGCGGACGGGUGAGUAACGCGUGAGGAACCUGCCUUUCAGAGGGGGACAACAGUUGGAAACGACUGCUAAUACCGCAUAACACAUGGGUGUCGCAUGGCACUGAUGUCAAAGAUUUAUCGCUGAAAGAUGGCCUCGCGUCUGAUUAGCUAGUUGGUGAGGUAACGGCCCACCAAGGCGACGAUCAGUAGCCGGACUGAGAGGUUGACCGGCCACAUUGGGACUGAGAUACGGCCCAGACUCCUACGGGAGGCAGCAGUGGGGAAUAUUGGGCAAUGGGCGCAAGCCUGAUCCAGCCAUGCCGCGUGAGUGAAGAAGGUCUUCGGAUUGUAAAGCUCUUUUGCCAGGGACGAUAAUGACGGUACCUGGAGAAUAAGCCCCGGCAAACUUCGUGCCAGCAGCCGCAGUAA
rnacentral:rRNA from 1 species